rnacentral:rRNA from 1 species
GACGAACGCUGGCGGCGUGCUUAACACAUGCAAGUCGAACGGAAAGGCCCUGCUUUUGUGGGGUGCUCGAGUGGCGAACGGGUGAGUAACACGUGAGUAACCUGCCCUUGACUUUGGGAUAACUUCAGGAAACUGGGGCUAAUACCGGAUAGGAGCUCCUGCUGCAUGGUGGGGGUUGGAAAGUUUCGGCGGUUGGGGAUGGACUCGCGGCUUAUCAGCUUGUUGGUGGGGUAGUGGCUUACCAAGGCUUUGACGGGUAGCCGGCCUGAGAGGGUGACCGGCCACAUUGGGACUGCGAUACGGCCCAGACUCCUACGGGAGGCAGCAGUGGGGAAUCUUGCACACUGGGCGGAAGCCUGAUGCAGCAACGCCGCGUGCGGGAUGACGGCCUUCGGGUUGUAAACCGCUUUCGCCUGUGACGAAGCGUGAGUGACGGUAAUGGGUAAAGAAGCACCGGCUAACUACGUG